rnacentral:rRNA from 1 species
UGGGGAAUUUUGGACAAUGGGGGAAACCCUGAUCCAGCCAUCCCGCGUGUGCGAUGAAGGCCUUCGGGUUGUAAAGCACUUUUGGCAGGAAAGAAACGUCAUGGGUUAAUACCCCGUGAAACUGACGGUACCUGCAGAAUAAGCACCGGCCAACUACGUGCCAGCAGCCGCGGUAAUACGUAGGGUGCAAGCGUUAAUCGGAAUUACUGGGCGUAAAGCGUGCGCAGGCGGUUCGGAAAGAAAGAUGUGAAAUCCCAGAGCUCAACUUUGGAACUGCAUUUUUAACUACCGGGCUAGGGUGUGUCAGAGGGAGGUGGAAUUCCGCGUGUAGCAGUGAAAUGCGUAGAUAUGCGGAGGAACACCGAUGGCGAAGGCAGCCUCCUGGGAUAACACUGACGCUCAUGCACGAAAGCGUGGGGAGCAAACAGG